rnacentral:lncRNA from 1 species
UGACACUGUCAACAAUAUUGUUAGUGCCAACGUGCACGAUGACAUCAAAACCAGCUAGCUUGUCAGCAAUCAUUGACAGCAAUUUGACAGCAAGUGCU